rnacentral:rRNA from 1 species
UACGUAGGGUGCGAGCGUUGUCCGGAAUUACUGGGCGUAAGGAGCUCGUAGGCGGUUUGUCGCGUCGUCUGUGAAAUCCUGCAACUCAAUUGCAGGCGUGCAGGCGAUACGGGCAGACUUGAGUACUACAGGGGAGACUGGAAUUCCUGGUGUAGCGGUGAAAUGCGCAGAUAUCAGGAGGAACACCGGUGGCGAAGGCGGGUCUCUGGGUAGUAACUGACGCUGAGGAGCGAAAGCGUGGGGAUCGAACAGGAUUAGA